rnacentral:rRNA from 1 species
GAUGAACGCUGGCGGCGUGCUUAACACAUGCAAGUCGAACGAAGCACUUUAUUUGAUUUCCUUCGGGACUGAUUAUUUUGUGACUGAGUGGCGGACGGGUGAGUAACGCGUGGGUACCCUGCCUUGUACAGGGGGAUAACAGUUGGAAACGGCUGCUAAUACCGCAUAAGCGCACAGCAUCGCAUGAUGCCGUGUGAAAAACUCCGGUGGUAUAAGAUGGACCCGCGUUGGAUUAGCUAGUUGGUGAGGUAACGGCCCACCAAGGCGACGAUCCAUAGCCGACCUGAGAGGGUGACCGGCCACAUUGUGACUGAGACACGGCCCAAACUCCUACGGGAGGCAGCAGUGGGGAAUAUUGCACAAUGGGCGAAAGCCUGAUGCAGCGACGCCGCGUGAGCGAAGAAGUAUUUCGGUAUGUAAAGCUCUAUCAGCAGGGAAGAUAAUGACGGUACCUGACUAAGAAGCACCGGCUAAAUACGUG